rnacentral:rRNA from 1 species
GUGCCAGCCGCCGCGGUAAUACGGAGGGUGCAAGCGUUGUCCGGAAUCACUGGGCGUAAAGGGUGCGCAAGCGGGGCAGCAAGUCGGGGGUGAUAGCCCGUGGCUCAACCACGGAAGUGCCUUCGAAACUGUUGCUCUUGAGUCCCGGAGAGGUUGCCGGAAUUCGUGGUGUAGCGGUGAAAUGCGUAGAUAUCACGAGGAACACCAGAGGCGAAAGCGGGCAACUGGACGGGUACUGACGCGCAGGCACGAAAGCGCGGGGAGCAAACAGGAUUAGAAACCCGAGUAGUCC